AGGCAUUUAAAGAAAGAGAUCCUUCAUGCUUGUCUUAUUGCUCGGCUCUUUUAUACCUAAAGCGCAUGCAUUGUGGAACCAAGGACGCAAGGUGUUGGCUCUUGCACUACAAAGUCGAGUUAGCGAGGUAUUUGGAGUCGAUAUACAUCCAGGUAUUGUUUCAAAAAUGAUUUCCUAACAUAAAUACUAUAUUUUUAUUGGAUUUUACCAAUAACUGUUUCUCUUUUGUGUUCACG